rnacentral:rRNA from 1 species
GACGAACGCUGGCGGCGUGCCUAACACAUGCGAGUCGAACGGAAAGGCCCUGCUUUUGUGGGGUGCUCGAGUGGCGAACGGGUGAGUAACACGUGAGUAACCUGCCCUUGACUUUGGGAUAACUUCAGGAAACUGGGGCUAAUACCGGAUAGGAGCUCCUGCUGCAUGGUGGGGGUUGGAAAGUUUCGGCGGUUGGGGAUGGACUCGCGGCUUAUCAGCUUGUUGGUGGGGUAGUGGCUUACCAAGGCUUUGACGGGUAGCCGGCCUGAGAGGGUGACCGGCCACAUUGGGACUGAGAUACGGCCCAGACUCCUACGGGAGGCAGCAGUGGGGAAUAUUGCACAAUGGGCGGAAGCCUGAUGCAGCAACGCCGCGUGCGGGAUGACGGCCUUCGGGUUGUAAACCGCUUUCGCCUGUGACGAAGCGUGAGUGACGGUAAUGGGUAAAGAAGCACCGGCUAACUACGUG